rnacentral:rRNA from 1 species
UACGUAGGGGGCAAGCGUUGUCCGGAAUCAUUGGGCGUAAAGAGCGUGUAGGCGGCUCGAUAAGUCUGCUGGGAAAGUCCAGGGCUCAACCCUGGAAGGCCGGUGGAAACUGUCGGGCUAGAGUCCGGAAGAGGCGAGUGGAAUUCCCGGUGUAGCGGUGAAAUGCGCAGAUAUCGGGAGGAACACCAAUGGCGAAGGCAGCUCGCUGGGACGGUACUGACGCUGAGACGCGAAAGCGUGGGGAGCAAACAGG